GGUGAACACGCCUGCUGGCGUCGCCCCGCCGGCGGCGUACGCGUAGUGCGCCUGCAGGAUGGAGGUGGUGGACGGGAGCACGAAGGAGACGUUGUUGAUGCUGGCCGCGAAGCGCGUGUUGUUGGGCCCGCCGCAGGUCUGGCCGCUGGAGCAGUUGAAGAGGCCGACGCCGACGGUGAAGAAGAGGCUCUCGUCGACGCGCGCGGGAAGGUCCGCCGCGCGGAGGCCGCGCAGGCUCGUGGUGAACGCCGUGGCCGUCGCGGUGUCGUUGUAGGCCGGGAGUGUGGGCAUCGCGGGGCUGCUGCUGUUGCUGGCGCCGGUGCCGUAGUCGAAGAUGGCCGUGGUGGUGGUGUUGUCGAAGGGGACGCCCUGGGCGCUGGCGUAGGCGCGCGCGGCGAGGUAGUAGCGGCUGGGGGGCUGGUCGAAGGUGACGAGCACGUCGGUGGUCUGGCCAGGCGCGACCAAGAUGACGGGCGUGGCGUACGGCUUGGUGUAGGAGGCGUCGGCGCCCACCACCGUCAUGGUGUGGCCGGCCAGGGAGACGAAGAGCUCCGUGUUGAG
rnacentral:misc_RNA from 1 species